AAUCAACGCUGGCGGCGUGCCUCAAACAUGCAAGUCAAACGAUUAAAGCUCCCUUCGGGGAGUGCAUAAAGUGGCGCACGGGUGAGUAACACGUAAGUAAUCUACCCUCGGGGGGGGAAUAACGUUCGGAAACGGACGCUAAUACCGCAUAAUGCAGCGGCACCGCAGGGUGACAGUUGUUAAAAAUUUAUUGCCUGGGGAGGAGCUUGCGGCAAAUUAGCUUGUUGGUAAGGUAACGGCUUACCAAGGCUACAAUCUGUAUCCGGUCUAAAAGGACGGUCGGACACACUGACACUGAAUAACGGGUCAAACUCCUACGGGAGGCAGCAGUCGGGAAUUUUGGGCAAUGGGGGAAACCCUGACCCAGCAACGCCGCGUGAAGGAUGAAGUAUUUCGGUAUGUAAACUUCAAAAGAAUAGGAAAAAUUAAUGACGGUACUAUUUAUAAGGUCCGGCUAACUACGUG
rnacentral:rRNA from 1 species